GAUGAACGCUAGCGACAGGCCUAACACAUGCAAGUCGAGGGGCAUCGGGGCGUAGCAAUACGCUGCCGGCGACCGGCGGAUGGGUGAGUAACGCGUAUGCAACCUGCCUUCAGCAGGGGGAUAGCCCGUUGAAAGACGGAUUAAUACCCCGUAACACAGGGGCUCCGCAUGGAGAUUAUUGUUAAAGGGAUACUUCCUUCGGGGGUAUUCCGGCUGAAGAUGGGCAUGCGUUCCAUUAGGUAGUUGGUUGAGGUAACGGCUCACCAAGCCUACGAUGGAUAGGGGAACUGAGAGGUUGGUCCCCCACACUGGUACUGAGACACGGACCAGACUCCUACGGGAGGCAGCAGUGAGGAAUCUUGGUCAAUGGACGAAGUCUGAACCAGCCAUGUCGCGUGAAGGAGGACGGCCCUAAGGGUUGUAAAACUUCUUUUGCAGCGGAAUAAAAGUAUUCCACGAGAUGGGAUAUUGCAAGUACGCUGCGAAUAAGGAUCGGCUAACUCCGUGCC
rnacentral:rRNA from 1 species